rnacentral:rRNA from 1 species
UAUAUUAUUCAUACUAUUGAUAUUUAGUAUAAUCCUAUGGAAUUGAAUAUCAUAGCAAUGUAUUUGAAAAGCAAAUUGGAAAACAAAUAGGUGCAACACCAUAAAUAUGAAAAAAUUGGGAAAAAGUAGAAUGGAAAUUUGCUUACGUCUCACGAGAUAGCUCACACUAUUAAUCUGAAGAACAAUGAAGUCGACUUUUAGAAAUUGCUAGAAGAAAGUAAAGCGAAUUAUCACUAGUUACUAUAGAGUAAGUUCAAAUAAAGCAUCUCCAACUUACAUGGUUACAUGAGGAUAUCAAAUCGAAAUUACUCAAGCUUCCUAUGGCUAGAGUCGCGAGAAGUUGUUGGGCAGUAGACAUAGGUUAUAUUGUUCUUAGCUACACGAUCAUUAGAAAGGAAAUCCUAUUAUGUAUAGUUAUCAAGAAGAUGCAAAAGUCCAAAAAAAUCGCUGGUGGAUUUUGAUUGCUAUAUCUAUGUUUACCUUCAUGUCCACAUUGGAUGGCAGUAUUGUCAAUAUUGCACUACCUACCAUCUCAGAUGAUAUGGGCAUACCAAUGAAUCAAGCGGAAUGGGUAGUGUCCGUUUAUCUGAUGAUUGUCUGUUCUUGUUUGUUGCUGUUUGGUAAAAUUGGCGAUAGCCGUGGGAAAAUCAAA